rnacentral:lncRNA from 1 species
AGUUUCUCUUCACCUUUAAACAUUUUUUUCUCAAUUUCACGAAUUGGGUUUCCUUUGUUUUUUUCUCUUAUGAUUUGGAAGCUUCAUAUCCUAUUUCUGAUCUAUGUCCUAUUUCUAUUUUACUAACAGUUACACUUACAUUUUAGACAUAAACAAAUACAUAUAUAUAUGUUUUGUUUUGAUCUUAAUUUAUAUGAUAUACACAAAUUUAAAUAUAUGUAUAUUCACAUGUUACAUAUGUUUAGUUAGAUGUUUUAGCAAUACUGAAUACUAAUUUUUUAUUUAAAUGAAAGUGAGCAUGUAAAACACCUGAUGAUCAUUUAUUAAUACAAAGUCAUCUAUCUACCUCAAGUAUUAAACAGGCAUAACACAAACAGUAAAUUAAAAGGCAAUGUUAGAAACACAUUAUUUUGUGAGUUUCAAACUUCAGUAUCAACAACUUCAGGGACAUUUUUCAAUAAAAACAUCUAUCAAUAAUAGCACUAUUCCAAGCUUUCUAUUUUUUUAUAGCCUUAUGUUCUUUUGCUCUUCAAUAUGUAGUACUUCUAAAUUAUUUGUAACUAUUAAUAAAAUAUUACUUUUUAAACUUUUCCUCUGAAAAUAAUUUUAUGGUAUGAUUUGCACCACAUGAGUUUAGAUAAUGGAAUGAGCCUGAACUGCAGCAAAAUGCCUAACAAUGAAGGCUAAGAGUUUUUAAAGAUCAGUGUCCAAAUCUGUGGCAAUGUUGGGGUAACAGGAUGUGAGGCUCUUAAGGAGCAGAAGCCAGUCUGUUUCUGUGAAGCACCAGAUUCUCAACUUUUACCUUAAAGGUAUAAAAAUUAAAUUAUUUUGCAGUUCAAAAGGCUGCCUGCAGAUAUACCGCACAGAGUUGUAAGGGAAACAGCCUUAAUUACAGACAUGGUCACGGAUGCUAUACUGGUCUAGAUCUGCCCUGUCCAACGUGGCGGCCUCUGGUCUCAUGUGACUGAGCGCUUGAACUAUGGUGAGGUGGAACUGAGAUGUGCUUUAAAUGCAAAAUAUACACCAGAUUUCAAAGACUCAAUACGAAGAAGAAAAAUUUAUAUAAAGUAUCUCAUAAACAAUUCUUAUAUUGAUUACAUGUUGAAAUAGGAUAUUAAUUUCACCUGGUUCCUUUUACUAUUUUAAUAUGGCUACCAGGUUUAAAAUUUCAUAUGUGGUUCUCAUUAUUCAGAGGUAAUAUGUUAAUUAUCAUUUUCUUGGAGUUCCAAUAAUUGUCUUGGCAACAUCUGUGACAGUUCCAGGUCUGCCUAGUUUAAUUCAGUCCAAAGGAUUUCAGCAGUAAUUUGCUGAAAACAGGAGGGAGUAUCCUCUCUUUAAUGAGACAAAUGUCUACUGAAGUCAUUUUCAUGGCAAAAUGGUAGCUGCCUUUUUUUGAUUUAGUUAUUAUCAUAUGUUCCAACUUCAUGAUAGGGCUCAGUAAUGGGAGCAGUGGCUGAAUUUCUGAGUCUGGAUUUACUUUGUUUUUGUACCAUAUUAUUCCUGUUUUUCUAACUACUCAGAGCCCUUGCAGUUGAUAAAUUACACUAAACUACUCCUGUGCUCCAUAGAUAUAUUACUCUAAAAUCCUGACUUCUUAUUGUUAUUGUUGUCCUCUAUGAAGAGUAACAUCCAAGCCUCCUGACAAUAUCAUCCUUUUAGGAAAAAAUGUGAUCUUAUUGUUUGCUUAGUCACUGUUCUAAAAGAUUAGUGGAUGUGCUCAUUUUGGCAGUACAUAUACUAAAAUUGGAAUGAUACAGAGAAGAUUAGCAUGGCCUCUGAGCAAGGAUGACAUGCAAAUUCAUGAAGUAUUCCAUAUAAAAAUACUCUAAAAAUAAAAAAAUAGGCCGGGCACAGUGGCUUACGCCUGUAAUCCCAGCACUUUGGGAGGCCGAGGCGGGCGGAUGACGAGGUCAGGAGAUCUAGACCAUCCUGGCUAACACGGUGAAACCCCGUCUCUACUAAAAAUACAAAAAAAUAGCCAGGCUUGGUGGCAGGCAUCUGCAGUCCCAACUACUCGGGAGACAGGCAGGAGAAUGGCGUGAACCCAGGAGGCGGAGCUUGCAGUGAGCCAAUAUCACACCACUGCACUCCAGCCUGGGCAACAGAGCGGGACUCUGUCUCAAAAAAUAAAUAAAAAUAAAUACAUAAAUUUUAAAAAUAUUAGUGGAUAAAGCACAUGGCUUGAGUAGGGUUCCCUGCAAUGUCCUCACCCCAUGGCCUUCUGACUGCCUUCUGCCCUUGCUGUUAUGUGGCCAGAGCCUGACACACCCCAACCCACCCCACAGGCUUCACUUCAAACACCCUGUGCCUGCCAUGGGCCCCACCUGUCAGCCUCAAUGCCCCAGUCCUAAGCCUGAACCUACAUACUUUCUCUCAACAUCAAGACUUACCCGAAUAUAUGCCAAACUCCCUCAAACAAAACAUAACACAAUAAAAUGUGAGCAGCUGCUUUAUUUUUCUUAUCUUUUAUCCGUUUGUUGAAAUCUUCUGGAAUUUUAGUUUUGCAUUUUUUUAAUGUUAUGUUUUUAUUUCAGGAAUUCAUUUUAACAGUUGUAUUAAACUGUGCAACUACAUUGUCAAAAAUUAUUUAGACUUAAUUAGUCACAGGGUUUGCUGGUUCCUUUGCUCAUGGUGGCUUGGCAUGGACUAUAGCUUCCCUUUUGCUAACUUCCUUAUCCUGAUUCAUUUCUCAUUUGCCUAAGGCAUCCUUCAGGGGACUUUUCCUCUUUCUUUCCCAGAAAGAAUAUAUGAUAAUUUGGGGGUCCACUGUAUCUAAACAAGAAUUUACUGUAGUCGCCCAUUUGACAUCUUAGAUCUACAAUUCUAAUCUCAAAAUUAUUUGCCCCCAGAACUUUGUGAGCACUGUUUUAUUAUUAUUAUUUUCUUUUUAGAGACAGGGUCUCACUCUGUCACCCAGGCUGGAAUGCAGUGGUGCAAUCAUGACUCACUGCAGCCUUGAAUUCCCAGGCUCAAGUGAUUCUCUUACCUCAGCCUCCCGAGUCUCUGGGAUUACAAGCAUAUGCCACCAUACUCAGCUAAUUUUUUUUUUUUUUUGUAGAGAUGGGUGUCUCACUAUGUUGCCCAGGCUGGUCUCAAACUCCUGGCCUUUAGUGAUCCUCUCACCUUGGCCUCCCAAAGUGUUGGGAUUACAGGCGUGAGCCACUGCACUCAGCCCCGUUACUUUCCAGCAUUUAAUGUUAUUUGACACUUUAGUUGACACUCUGAUUCUUAGUCUUUUAUAGAUUGCCUAUUUGGUUGUGCUCUCUUGCUCUCUUUCCCCAGAGACUUUACCAAGGUAUGUCUCAGUCCAUCCCCAAUUCUUGCUUAACACUGUUUAGAGAAAACUCCCUCUAACCGCACUUUUCCUCUACUCUCACACAACAAUCAUCAACACAGAAGACUUCUGUGAUCAAAUAUGGGUUAAUUCCCCAUACACCCAUCAGCAGACACCAGCUGCAUGUCCUCUAAUUCAAUUCCAACACUAUUUACCUAGAGAUGGUGUCAGAUCCCACAGGCUGAGGGGUCAGUCCCCAAGACUGCCCCUCCACACCAGUCGCCAAGUCCGGGCCUUCAGAACUUCUGACCAACCAGCUUCAAAGUUCCCAUGACCCCUUCUUUGGGUUCAAUAAAUUUGCAGAAGCAGUUCAUACAACUCAGGGAAACACUUAGUUCACCAGUUUAUUGCUCUAUACUGGAAAAAAUACAGACGAAGAAACGCUAGGGCAAGGUAUGGGGGAAGAGGCUUGAAGCUUCCAUGCCCUACCUGGGCACACCACUCUCCCGGAACCUCCACAUGUUCAGCUAUUGGGAAGCUCUCUGAACCCUGUCCUCUUGGAAUUUUGAGUCUUAAGACCCACAAUCAGAAAGGUGGGAGAAUAUUAGAGUGGAAGGAGGGCAGAACACCAGAGGCCUACCUGAGGCCUAACACAUCCAACAUUAUAACAAGACUGUGUAAGGGCUGUGGGAGUUAUGAGCCAAAGAACCCUGGAUGAAAAACCUACAUAUAUAUAUAACACCACACACUCAGUAGAUGCUUUUGAUAUGAACUAUGUAUUUCACUCAGAAGAAUUAUCUGCUCUCAAUAAUGCAAUUAUCAUCUACCUCUCUCCUUUUUACUUUCUAUAGAUUCCCCAUUAUAUGGAUAUUAGUUACCUGGAAUCUGUCAUACUACUUAACUCCUCACUCUAGCUCUGUCUGCUGAAGAUUGUAAAAUAAUUCCACAGCUUAUUCUUCCUUUUAACUAUCUUGUUUCAGCCCUUUCCAUUUUAAAAAUUCAGUUCUUCCACUAAGAUUUUUAUUUUAACCAUUAGAAUUCUUGUUUCCUGGGCCUUUAUUUCACAGCUGUGAUAGAUUCUGAAGCAGGCUCCAUGAUCCCUACCUCCUGGUAGUUGUCAUUUUUAAUACCCUUCCCUAAGAGUGGGAAGGACCUGUGUCUUGCUCUCACCCUACAGAAUACAGCAAAGAUGACAAAGUGUUGCCUGUGUGAUUACAUUACAGAAGAUAGUAACAUCUGUGCUACUGGAAAGGCUCUCUCCCCUGCCGGCUUUGAGGAAGCAAGCAGCCACACUGGAAUGCCUACAUGGCAAGGAACUGAGGGCAACCUCCAGCCAACAGAUGGCAAGAACUGAGGCCCUCUGUCCAGCCAUCUGUAAGAAACUGAAUGUUGCCCAACCACCAUGUGAGCUGAGAAGUGGAUCCUUCCCCAACAAGCCUCAGAUGAGACCACAGUCCUGACCAACACCUUCAUUGCAGCCCUGUGGGUCCCUGAAGCAGAGGACCCAGCUAAGCCUGAAAGAAACUACAAGGUCAUUAAUGUGUGUUGUUUAAAGUCACUAAGUUUGUGGUGAUAUUGUUAUGUAACAAUAUACUAAUACAAUAGCUGCCUAUUUUAAUUUGGUGGCUACCAUGUCUUCUGGGAUCGAGACUUUCUAAAGCUCUACUCAGUCUCCUGAAUCAAUGGUUUUCUUUGAUGGGAAUCACUCUGCUUCUUCUCUGGGUGCCUCUCAUGAUGUUGGGUUUUUCAGAAGUCUCAUGAAUCUUGCAUGGUUGUGAAGUGCACAUAAAGUCCCUAGCUGUAAAGAACUUUCUAAUGGGUGUGAAAUAGGAUUAGAGACAAAGACAGUAAGCAUAAGUAUUUUCAGUUAGUAACAGUUACCAAUAAAAAAUGUAGGAUAAUAUGAUAGUGAUGGCAUGCACGUGUUGGAAGUUAGUGGAGGCUAUCUCCCCAGUGGUCAAAGGAGGAACAUCUUCAGAAUUCUGCCUACCACACUUCCUAUAUGAGAAACAUGUUUGUUGCACCUUAAGAUCCAGUGGGAUGAAGGAAAGUAAGAAAGGAGAGUGAAGAGAAAUGAUAUUUGGCUCUAGGAAGGAAUUUGGAUUUUAUUUUCAUUUAGAUGGGAAUCUAUUGGAGGAUUUUUACAAGGGGAAGUAAUGUUAAGUUAUACUUUAAAAGUGAUCAGUAUGCUGACAGGAGAAAGCUUCCUUAGCAAUUGUCUUUCAUAUUGCCCAGCCAUGGAUAGAGAUGUGUUAACUGUGGCGUGAGCAAGACCUCCUCUAUGUCUUGGCGUAAGCCUGCAUGUGUCAGUGGCAAGGAUAUAGAGAAACUGUAGGAAGUGGGGGUCGACCCUUAAAAAAAUGUGGAAGUAGGUAAAAAGUUACCGAGACAGGAGUGAGUUACAUCAAGAAGUUCCACUGCUUCAUCAAAUACUUGUGCUUCUGUCUAACGUGGCAACCAAGUACCUGCCAUCCUGACUCACUUCUCAGGCUGCAGGGCCCACAAAAGCCAGGCGACUGUAAAUGACUCCCCCUGAUUUAGGGAACUCCACUUCCCAGUGGUUCCACAAGAACAGUUGGGCAUGAGCUCCGCAAGGCUUGUCUUGGCAAUCCUUUCAGAUACCAGACCACUGGCCCACAGCCUAUUUUGCUGCCUAAGCUAGGGGUACAGCCCAGGCACUGCUGAGAUAACCAAUCUCAUCUGGCAUUUUCACAGCCAUUAUUUAGCUCAGGGAUUCCAACAACCCAGUACCAUUUGCCUUGUGACCUCCAGAAACACCUGUCAUAUUUGAAAAUGGUAACCUUCUCUCUUUUCCAACAUCACACUGGAUUGAUUCUUAGUGUGUAUUUUUUCAUUUCAAUGAAAAUUUUGCACAUACGGGCAGGAAAGGUAAAUUUGUGGCUUAGGCCACUAUUUUAAAUGGAAAGUUUGUUACUAUACCUUUUAUUAUUAAGCUAAUAUAUUCUUCUGGGGGAAAAAAAAUGCUGGGGUAGUUUUUUCCUAGAAGCCUUUUAAGGGAAAGUUGAGCUGCAUGCAUUUCUUGGAUACAAAGGUAAGGUGCAACUCUGACACUAAAGCAUGAGACUACCAAGCGCUGAUGGCUCCCUCUCUGGGACUGCAUGGCUUCAUCACACAUGGGGAUGAGAACUGGGGCCUGACAGUCCAGGGCAGUGAGUGAAGGUGAGCAAAGGAGGAGACAAGGCCUCUGCUCUGGACUCACUGACUGCACAGGUUGUUAUAAUAUGGGAGUGCUUGCCCUCGCCAUAUCCGAGGAACCUGGGACUUAGCUACGUUUCCCCUGCCAUCUCUACAUUUCUGAGCAGAAAUGGAUUGAGAGAGCUCUAAUAGCUGUGUUUCACUGGCCGUGGCAGGCCCUGUUGGUCAGCAGGCACACCGCUGCUUGUUGAGAUGCCUGAGCCCAGCUGUCACAAAACACCAAUGGCCCAAGUGCCCUUAACAACAGCAUGUUGCCUUUAUAAAACGCCACCUUAUGUGGACUUCCUAAUUUUUCUUUUUCUCUUAAGUGGUUAUUAUAUAUUAAGUGGUCCAUUAUGCUGACUUAACUCCUUAAUAAAGCCCUCUCUUCAUGUUUUCCCGUUGUUUUUAUAAUGAGCCAAAUUAGUAAUAAAGUUAGCCCUUACCUGACUAUACUUUGUUUUGUACCUCCCAGUACCCAGCACCUGAUACUGUGUAAGCAAUUCUCAAAUUCAUAAAUUUUUGGUAAGUGAUAACAGAAAUCUGGAUGUGUUAUUAAGGAAUGACCAGUACAAUUUCCCUUUAUCACUAAAAAAACAAAUCUUACGGAGUCUGUACAAACUCUCUAAGGUUAGAAUCACUGGCAGUUUUCUAAUGUCCAUUUUAAUGCUCUUUCCAUUAUAAGCCGUGUUGUAAAAGUAUUUUUUAAGGGCAAGAGUUAAAAGUGGUGACUGCAUCUUAUCUAUUCUCCCAAGACUCCCUCCAUUCACCCAGGCUGCUGGGGCAAACCUUCAAGAUGGCCUCACCUGCUUAAACUGUUUAAAAUGUGCUCCCUCACCACCAGCUCCCCAACUAAGGUCAAGAACUAGGAAUAUAAGAAGGAAGUAAAAAGAUGUUAUCUUUAUCCAACCUGUCCUUUUGCCAUGGACCUUGAUAGAAUCCUUUCUUUUAAUCAGAUCCCUAAAGGUGGGCUGUAAAGUGUCCCUUAAAAAAACACUGGGAGAGUAAAAAUGGAGACCAAUAAAUAACAUAUAAGCAUGAGUAGAGAAAAAUAAUAAUCUGGGACAGACCUUUAAAAAAGUUCUAAAGUGUAGAAAAGGAGAAACAUAACUAAGAGAUAUUUCUUUGGAAUUAGAAUUUUUCCACAAAACUAAAGAUAGAUGGCAUAUGAUCUCUAAUAAUAUGAUGCAAAUACCACAAACACUAAGCAGAAUGAGCUAGGACAACCACACAAAAUAGCUGAAAAGAUCCUUCACAGCAACAAGAGCAAAAUCAAGGCAGAUUCAAAGAAGAGGCACAAUCAUAAAACAUGAACCAGGCCUUUUAAAUCUGUAUUUUACUAUUUAAUCCUCACUCUCCAACAAGACAGGUAUAAACUAUUCUCACUUUAGAAUUGAGAUUGAAUAAUUAAGUAACCAACAGUCACCAGUAAAUGACAGAGCCAGAAUUCAACAGGUCUAUUUGGCUCCACAGCCCAUGAUCUUUAGACUAUGAUUCCAUUAAGACCAGCUUGUCAAUAUGAAAGGCACACCUGAGAGAUAUUUUAGAAUUGAGAAAAUGAGUUAAAAUUUCAGAAAAUUAGAAAUUUACCACAGAAUGAAUACAUAUCAAAAGGAUCAUAUAUUAUUAUUAGAUGUAUAAUAAAGAUUUAAGAAGGCCUGAAAUCAUAAAUUAGAAUUACCAUAUUCAUAUCAAAAUUGUUAAGCAUUAAUACCAUAACCAAGUGACAUGUUUAGUAAAAUGUGUAUUUCUACUAAGGGAAUGUAAUUUUUGAAGACAUUAAAUAUCAGGCUAGCAUUCAUGUUUCUGAAACAAUAGCUAAAGACAGGGCAGUGCCACACUUGAGAUAAUUUAAUCCAAGAUUAUUAUAUUCGAUGAAGACAAUCGCAUGUGGCGAGAGUAAGCAAUCUUAAAGUUUCAGUAAGCUUCCUAUCCAACUGCUUCAGAAACACUCAAAAUCACAAAGUGUUGAGACAAAGAAAGCUUCUCUGUGGUAUAACGUAGAAACAACAGUUGACUCCCCAGCUCAAAUUUUCUUUCCAGCUUUAAAAUAUCCUGACUAUUCCUUUCAGGUUUAGAUUCUUAUUUAACAGAGUAGACCUUAAUUCAGGAAAGACCAUUUCUUGAGCUAACAAGAGAGACAUGGGCUCUGCUUAAUCCAAGAUGAGCUAAACCAACUAGACUUUCUCUCCUUGUCACAAUUUCUAAACUCCAUAGAAAGAAGUGGCCCUGUGGCUGGUGAUCAAGGGAGCUUAAAGUCAGGGCUGGCAGAAGCUGUAACUGAAAAAAACUGAUAAUAAAUAUUAAGACCAAAUUUCAGAGCUAAAUAAAACAUUAACAGCUAGAGGGCAAAUGCUGAUAAAUCUAAAUAGCUAGACCCAAGAAGGUGGGAGUGAUCUGCAAUUAAACACCAAGAAAGAAAAACUAGAGAAUUCCUUGACAUCAAUACCAAAGAAACCAAGUUUAUAGUGCUGUUUAUAUAGAAAUAGAAAGGGAUAAAGACAGUAAUGAAUAUUGUGGAAUGUUUUAGGAUGUUAAAAGAUAUAACUAAGAACUGAAGACAAGAAGUUUAACGUCCAAAUUCUAAUAAAAAAGGCCAGGCGUGGUGGCUCAUGCCUGUAAUCCCAACACUUCAGGAGGCUGAGGUGGGUGGAUCGUUUGAGGCCAGGAGUUCGAGAGCAGCCUGGGCAACAUGGUGAAACCCCAUCUCGAUUAAAAAUACAAAAAUUAGCUGGGUGUGGUGGUGCAAACCUGUGGUCUCAGCUACAAGGGAGACUGAGGCACAAGAAUCACUGGAACCCAGGAGGCAGAGGUUGCAGUGAGCUGAGAUCACACCACUGCACUCCAGCCUAGGCAACACAGCGAGACUGUUUCAAAAUAACCAAAACAAAACAAAAAAUGAAUUCUAAUGAAAGACAAUCACAUAUUACAAAGGGAAAAACUAAAAAUUGCAACAAUCUUUUAACAUAAAAACAGAAGGCAAACCAAGAAUAAAAAUUUAAACUAUAUACACAAACUGUCUAAAUUCAACAACUAAAAGUGUUUCAAUUUGUCAUUUCAAAUUGCACUGUUCACAAGAGAAAACAUUAGAACUUAAAUAUAACCUCCACGAGACCAAGGAUAUUUGUGUUGUUCAUUGCUCUACGUUCACUACCUUCAGUUUUUUGAAUAAAUGCAAAAAGAAUGCCAACAAAUACCAAAACUGCCUACUGCCCAAUGCUGCCAUAGCUCUGAUUCAGUGCAGAUGGAGUUUUACACAGGAACUACUUUUUCAAGAGGACAAUUUAGAAUGCAAGCCAAAAGCUUUAAAAAGUGCAUAUUCUUUAAUCCAGGAAUUACUCAAG